GCAAAAAUCGCUCCGAAAACCUCGGGUGAGUGCCUCGUGAGUAAUUCGCGGGGGGGAAGAGCGGCACGCACAACUUGCUGUAAUCAUUGCUGCCACAGUUGGCAGAGCUGCCUUCUGCACAUGUGCGCAUUCCCAUACACAUGCGCCUAAAUGUCGAACACGGCUGUUUCUUCGAUCCAUCCGGGAAUCAGCGGCUUCACGUUUUCACUUGCGCGUAUGCGUAUCAUAUACGACUGAAACGAGCGUUGAAGGAGAAAAUGGUUAGCCGUCAUUUUGGUUAAGGAAACGUCAGCCAGACACUCUUUAUCAUCUUCUCCGUUUUCCGAUCCGCCAAGCAAAGGUCGCAUUUCCAACAGCCGGAAACCAAGUAACCAUUGCAAAUGUCAACCGAGACAACGGCAACCAUUAGGUAAUGCAAUCUGUUACAAUCCCAUCGUGAGAAAGACGGAACGCGAGGUGAUGGAUACCAAAGAUUCGUACCUUACAUCUUUACGUUAUAUAUGUAUAUAUAUACCGGGAAAUAUACAGUGUGUUAUAUA